GCGCGGGGCAACCUGGCGGCGAGUGGCGAACGGGUGAGUAAUAUAUCGGAACGUGCCCUGGAGUGGGGGAUAACGCAGCGAAAGUUGCGCUAAUACCGCAUACGAUCUAAGGAUGAAAGUGGGGGCUUCGCAAGAACCUCAUGCUCCUGGAGCGGCCGAUAUCUGAUUAGCUAGUUGGUGGGGUAAAGGCCUACCAAGGCAUCGAUCAGUAGCUGGUCUGAGAGGACGACCAGCCACACUGGAACUGAGACACGGUCCAGACUCCUACGGGAGGCAGCAGUGGGGAAUUUUGGACAAUGGGCGCAAGCCUGAUCCAGCAAUGCCGCGUGAGUGAAGAAGGCCUUCGGGUUGUAAAGCUCUUUUGUCAGGGAAGAAACGGUGYGGGCUAAUAUCCUGCACUAAUGACGGUACCUGAAGAAUAAGCACCGGCUAACUACGUGCCAGCAGCCGCGGUAAUACGUAGGGUGCAAGCGUUAAUCGGAAUUACUGGGCGUAAAGCGUGCGCAGGCGGUUUUGUAAGUCUGUCGUGAAAUCCCCGGGCUCAACCUGGGAAUUGCGAUGGAGACUGCAAGGCUAGAAUCUGGCAGAGGGGGGUAGAAUUCCACGUGUAGCAGUGAAAUGCGUAGAGAUGUGGAGGAACACCGAUGGCGAAGGCAGCCCCCUGGGUCAAGAUUGACGCUCAUGCACGAAAGCGUGGGGAG
rnacentral:rRNA from 1 species